rnacentral:misc_RNA from 1 species
UCCGGCUUGCCACCGGCAGUUCCACUAGAGAGCCCAACUUAAUGCUGGCAACUAAAGAUAGGGGUUGCGCUCGUUGCGGGACUUAACCCAACAUGUCACCACACGAGCUGACGACAGCCAUGCAGCACCUGUGUGUAGGUCCCGUAAGGGAAGGAAUCCAUCUCUGGAAGCCGUCCUACCAUGUCAAACGCUGGUAAGGUUCUGCGCGUUGCUUCGAAUUAAACCACAUAAUCCACCGCUUGUGCGGGUCCCCGUCAAUUCCUUUGAGUUUUAACCUUGCGGCCGUACUCCCCAGGCGGUCAACUUCACGCGUUAGCUUCGUUACCAAGGAAUUGCUUCCCCGACAACCAGUUGACAUAGUUUAGGGCGUGGACUAC